UUUUUUCAGUUCGCCAAUCACUCUCUCUCUCUCUCCCUCCCUUUCUCUCUCCCUCUCUCGCUCUCGUAUGUGCAAGUGCACCGGGCGCUUACUUCUCUUCUGAGCGGGCACUGCAGGGGAAGAAACGAACGAACCCACCAUGGAAUAGGAAUAACUGCUGGACAAAACGGGGAAAGACAGCCUCUUUCAUCUUUAUUCUUUAUUCUUUAUUCCCCCCUUCUUUUCCCUGACACCCCCUUUUUCUCUUUUUUUCUCGCAUCCCCCCUGUUUGCCUCUCUCAAUGUCUCUCAACAGUUUCUGAAGGGAUUGAAGGAAAAGGCAAAAAAAAAAAAAAAAAAAAAUGAGGAUUAUUAUUUUGUCUUGGCACUUUCUCUGGGUGCUUUCCGCCCUUUGGGAGGUGGCGACGGGGGCUUUCCCCAGCUCAGUGCAGAUAGGCGGGUUGUUCAUUAGGAAUACAGAUCAGGAGUAUACAGCAUUUCGACUAGCUAUCUUCCUUCACAACACCAGCCCUAAUGCCACAGAAGCUCCUUUUAACCUGGUCCCGCAUGUCGACAACAUAGAGACAGCCAACAGCUUUGCUGUCACCAACGCAUUCUGUUCUCAGUAUUCAAGGGGAGUCUUUGCCAUCUUCGGCCUUUACGACAAGCGCUCGGUGAACACGCUGACGUCGUUCUGUGGGGCCCUGCACAUCAGCCUUGUGACCCCCAGCUUUCCCACUGAAGGCGAGGGCCAGUUCACCCUGCAGCUGCGACCGUCCAUCAGAGGGGCUUUGCUGUCACUGUUGGACCAUUAUGACUGGAGUCGAUUUGUCUUCCUGUAUGACACAGACCGAGGUUAUGCAAUACUGCAGGCAAUUAUGGAGAGAGCGGGACAGAAUGGAUGGCAGGUGAGUGCAAUCUGUGUGGAGAGUUUCAAUGAGGCAGCGUAUCGCCGGCUGCUCGAGGAUCUGGACCGACGUCAAGAGAGGAAAUAUGUCAUCGAUCUGGAGCCUGAGCGACUACAGAACAUCCUAGAACAGGCUGUCAGUGUGGGGAAACAUGUUAAAGGUUUCCAUUACAUCGUAGCAAACCUGGGAUUUAAAGACAUAUCUUUGGAGAGGUUCAUGCAUGGAGGCGCAAACGUGACCGGUUUCCAGCUGGUGGACUUCAGCAAGCCCAUAGUCAUUAAACUGAUGCAGCGCUGGAACAAACUGGAUCAGAGGGAGUACCCUGGAUCUGACACCCCACCGAAGUAUACCUCGUCUCUAACGUAUGAUGGCGUCCUCGUGAUGGCCGAGGCCUUCCGCACCCUGCGCCGUCAGAAGAUUGAUAUCAGUCGCCGUGGAAACGCUGGUGACUGCCUGGCCAAUCCGGCUGCUCCCUGGAACCAAGGAAUAGAUAUGGAGCGUGCACUCAAACAGGUACGCAUUCAGGGCCUGACUGGGAACAUUCAGUUUGAUCACUAUGGUCGAAGGGUCAACUAUACCAUGGACGUGUUUGAACUGAAGAGUAACGGACCACGGAAGAUUGGCUACUGGAACGACAUCGACAAACUUGUGUUGGUCCAGAAUGAAAAUGCUCUGUCCAAUGACAGCUCGGCGAUGGAGAACCGAACUGUUGUUGUGACUACCAUCAUGGAGGGUCCCUAUGUGAUGCUGAAGAAGAACUGGGAACUCUACGAAGGCAACGACCAGUUCGAGGGAUACUGUGUGGACCUGGCGUCAGAGAUCGCCAAACACAUUGGGAUCAAGUAUAAGAUCUCCAUCGUACCAGAUGGGAAAUAUGGAGCCAGAGAUCCAGAGACUAAGAUAUGGAAUGGCAUGGUUGGAGAGCUUGUGUAUGGGAAAGCGGAAAUAGCCGUGGCCCCUCUGACCAUCACCCUGGUGAGAGAGGAGGUGAUUGACUUCUCAAAGCCCUUCAUGUCUCUGGGUAUAUCCAUCAUGAUCAAGAAGCCGCAGAAGUCUAAACCAGGUGUCUUCUCUUUCCUGGACCCGCUGGCCUACGAGAUCUGGAUGUGCAUAGUGUUCGCUUAUAUUGGAGUCAGUGUUGUGCUGUUUUUGGUGAGCCGCUUCAGUCCGUACGAGUGGCACGCAGAGGAGCCAGAGGAGGGCGCCACAGAGCAGGGCCCGACCGACCAGCCUCCCAAUGAGUUUGGCAUCUUCAACUCUCUGUGGUUCUCACUGGGAGCUUUCAUGCAACAGGGCUGCGACAUCUCACCACGCUCUCUGUCAGGACGCAUUGUCGGAGGCGUGUGGUGGUUCUUCACCCUCAUCAUCAUCUCCUCUUACACAGCCAACCUGGCUGCCUUCCUUACUGUGGAGAGGAUGGUCUCACCCAUCGAGAGUGCAGAGGAUCUGGCCAAACAAACAGAAAUAGCCUAUGGGACAUUGGACUCCGGCUCCACUAAAGAGUUCUUCAGGAGGUCCAAAAUAGCUGUGUAUGAGAAGAUGUGGUCAUAUAUGAAAUCUGCUGAGCCGACGGUCUUCACCAAAACCACGGCGGAAGGCGUGGCGAGGGUCCGCAAGUCCAAAGGGAAGUAUGCCUUCCUCCUGGAGUCCACAAUGAACGAGUACACGGAGCAGCGCAAGCCUUGUGACACCAUGAAAGUCGGGGGGAACCUGGACUCCAAAGGAUACGGCAUUGCCACACCAAAAGGCUCACAGUUAAGGUGGGUGGAAUAGUGUAACAAUAGGAGACAGUAACAAAGCUGAUACUGUACUAUUGCUGCGAUAUUCCACCUACCCUACUGUGCCUUUUAUAUUACAUGUAAUUGAGCCUGUCCCUGCUGUCAGGUGAAAACAUCUCAUAUCCAAUUGGACUUGGUCAGAACUUGUUUCGAUCUGACAUUCAGGAGUUAUGAGGAUAACUCACUCAAUCUAAGGCAUCAUUGCAGUGUUUGGAAUGUAACAGGUUUUCACCCAUCAGCAGCGAUGGACGAGCGCAUUGAGAAUGCAAAUUUCAUCAUGUUUCCUUCCCCUUUUUGAUUUCUUUAUCCCCCUGUUUCUGGCUCUUUCCUUUCUUGUGCUACCCACCUGUUAAUUUAGGGCCAGUUAGCUCCACUUCUGUGUCCUGUGUCAUGUCGUUUGUCCGUCCUCUACUGCUUGUGCCCAUCCUCAUUGUCCCUGCUCUUUCAGUCGCUCUGUUUCUCCACAGGGCCACCUUACAGGUAACUCUUUCCAUUUGUCUGUUGUCCCGUCCCUUUGUUUCUUUCAUGCUGAGAAAUGGUAGUCAUGAUGAUGAUGAUGAUGAUGCUGAUGAUGAUGAUUGUAGGUGCAUUUUAUUAACUGGAUGUGACUGCAAGGAGGGGCAGAACCUCUGACUGCUGCCACUACAAACAGGGCCACAAGGGGGAAUUUAUAGAUGAACAGCAAACCAAAAGUGAGAAAUGGAAAGUUGAGGGGCCUGGCCAACGGGGGGAAUAGAAAUUCAUCACAAUACAGGAUCCUACACAAAAAAAUACUGAGACACAAAUGACUUCAAUUGAACAAUGUCAAACGAAAUCAAACCCAAAUCGAGCAGUACUCGGUGGUCUAUUCAAAGAAAUGCGUGACAGUGUGUGUAUUUGUCAGACAGUGUACGGUGGAGGAAGCAAACAUGGAACUGGAUAUUGGCACCAAAGUUGGUCCUUUUGUUUUGGUUUUCCCUCAGAAGCCACUUGUUUAUCUGGCUUGUUAACAUGAGCCUAAAGAAACAGUCCCAGAAGGUUUCCCUGAGGUAUACUGGCAAUGAAAGUAAUUAUUUUUCUACAAGUGACUGUGACAUGCAGAGACAAAGUCUUCACAAUGUGACAAGUGUCUCUUGAGGGAAAAUAAUUGAAUAAAUUCAGUAAAGCUGGACCACUCUCUCUCUCUCUCUCUCUCUCUCUCUCUCUCUCUCUCUCUUUCUCUCUCUCUCUUUCUCUCUCUCUCUCUCUCUCUCUCUCUCCCCCUCCCUCGCUUCACCUCUCUCUGUCAGCCAAACCAGAACGUUACAUCAGCCUCACAUCCUAUCCCUAUAACUUCCCCCUGUGUGUGGUGCAAACGAGCCCCUUAAAACCACAGUCACUGUCGUUUAUCUCUUGUUACUGACAAAAUUGGUUUUUCCGUUUAUGGGGGAAAAGUGACAGACAGCGGGUGGGUAGGUUUCUUUCCUCUCCCCACACCAAAAAAAAAACAAAAAAAAAAAAACAUUUACUGGGACUAUCCACAGUUGUCUCUGACUUCUCUCAAUCAGCGGAAAACCCUGUCUACCAGGUGCACGCAUGUGGCUGGGAGUGUGCACGUCAGAAAUGCGGUCAACCUGGCCGUGCUAAAGCUCAACGAGCAGGGCCUGUUGGACAAAUUGAAAAACAAGUGGUGGUAUGACAAAGG